CCUCAGCAACUUCAAAGCAAUCUCAAGACCUGUUUAAGAAACAAUCAGUCUCAGUCUUUCGAUCAUGUUUUGAUCAUGAGAAUGAUGGAGCAGUAACAGCUAUACUUCCACUGAGAAUUGAGGCCCAAUUCUCUAGAAGCUUCUUUCUGGGAUUAAGAAGGCCGAAUAUGUGAUAGAUUGGGCAGUUUAAGAGGUUACAGAAUGUG